UAUUCCUUUAGAUAUUGUGAGAUG
rnacentral:siRNA from 1 species